rnacentral:rRNA from 1 species
AGUGAACGCUGGCGGUAGGCCUAACACAUGCAAGUCGAACGGCAGCACAGUAAGAGCUUGCUCUUACGGGUGGCGAGUGGCGGACGGGUGAGGAAUACAUCGGAAUCUACUUUUUCGUGGGGGAUAACGUAGGGAAACUUACGCUAAUACCGCAUACGACCUACGGGUGAAAGCAGGGGAUCUUCGGACCUUGCGCGAUUGAAUGAGCCGAUGUCGGAUUAGCUAGUUGGCGGGGUAAAGGCCCACCAAGGCGACGAUCCGUAGCUGGUCUGAGAGGAUGAUCAGCCACACUGGAACGUGAACACGGUCCAGACUCCUACGGGAGGCAGCAGUGGGGAAUAUUGGACAAUGGGCGCAAGCCUGAUCCAGCCAUACCGCGUGGGUGAAGAAGGCCUUCGGGUUGUAAAGCCCUUUUGCUGGGAAAGAAAAGCAGCAGGUUAAUACCCCGCUGUUCUGACGGUACCCAAAGAAUAAGCACCGGCUAACUUCGUG